rnacentral:misc_RNA from 1 species
UCGCGGCUUAUCACCGGCAGUCCCCUUAGAGUGCUCAACUAAAUGGUAGCAACUAAGGGCGAGGGUUGCGCUCGUUGCGGGACUUAACCCAACAUCUCACGACACGAGCUGGCGACAGCCAUGCAGCACCUGUGCACGGACUCCGAAGAGGAACCGAUGUUUCCACCGGCUUUCCCGUGCAUGUCAAGCCCAGGUAAGGUUCUUCGCGUUGCUUCGAAUUAAACCACAUGCUCCACCGCUUGUGCGGGCCCCCGUCAAUUCCUUUGAGUUUCAGCCUUGCGGCCGUACUCCCCAGGCGGAUGACUUAACGCGUUAGCUGCGCCACCGAAACGCUAAGCGCCCCGACAGCUAGUCAUCAUCGUUUACGGCGCGGACUAC